UGUGAUACAUCAAUAGUGAAAUUUUUGUGUCUCCAAAAAUGGAGCAGGUAUAGGGAGAAAAAUCCCAUUAGCACCAUGAUGUGUUUUCACGGCAGCUCUGAAGGUUCCAGUCAUGGCCGUUUUGUGCAUUUUGUAGCAUUGUCCUCAUGCUGUUAUUCUUUUUUUUUUUUCUUUUUCUUUCUUUCUUUUUUAUUUUUUCCUAAGUAGAGUUGAAAUGUUACAUUCUGAAAACACCAGCUAAGUAUUAAAUGGUACCUAGCCUAUGCUUUCUUGAGAUUUUAAAAUAGGAAAUUAUUAACCAGUGGUUUUAAAGAUCUCCCGAACAGCCAAACAGGCCUAUGAAACCCCAGGAUCUAAUAACAAAGACUGGAUUCUAGUUCAUUACCCUGCAGUAAAGCCAAACAGUCAUCAAUCGCGCUCAUUACAGCCGCUGGCGUUUUGAUUGGCUGCCUGCUGCUGGUAGCCCGCGUCCCCCAUCCUCCCGCUCUCCUCCAUGAGCUGUCGUGUACCUGCCAAGAACAACAACAAAAAAAAUAUCAACAAUGCAAGAAUAAAUUUCUCUGGUUGAAAAACAACUUUGCAAACUUGUCAAACAGUCCUUGUCACUUUUUUAAAUUUUUUUUUGGUUUUGCACCAAAAAAAUAGUAAAAAAAAAAAAUUAGAAGGGAGAAACUUGAGCUUUAGAGAUGAAUAUUUGUCAAGAGAGUUGACGUAAGUUUCAUUUGCAUAAUGACUUUGUACUUCUGCAUUAAUAAAAUUUGCAUAUGAAGCCA